GAUGAACGCUAGCGGCAGGCUUAACACAUGCAAGUCGGGGGGUAUAGGUUUUCGGACCUAGAGACCGGCGCACGGGUGCGUAACGCGUAUGCAAUCUACCUUUCACAGAGGGAUAGCCCAGAGAAAUUUGGAUUAAUACCUCAUAGUAUAGCAGUUUCGCAUGAAACCACUAUUAAAGUAUCAACGGUGAAAGAUGAGCAUGCGUCCCAUUAGCUAGAUGGUAAGGUAACGGCUUACCAUGGCUACGAUGGGUAGGGGUCCUGAGAGGGAGAUCCCCCACACUGGUACUGAGACACGGACCAGACUCCUACGGGAGGCAGCAGUGAGGAAUAUUGGUCAAUGGACGCAAGUCUGAACCAGCCAUGCCGCGUGCAGGAUGACGGUCCUAUGGAUUGUAAACUGCUUUUGUACGAGAAGAAACAACAUUACGUGUAAUGUCUUGACGGUAUCGUAAGAAUAAGGAUCGGCUAACUCCGUGCCAGCAGCCGCGGUAAGAC
rnacentral:rRNA from 1 species